rnacentral:rRNA from 1 species
CCUACGGGAGGCUGCAGUGGGGAAUAUUGGACAAUGGGGGCAACCCUGAUCCAGCCAUGCCGCGUGUGUGAAGAAGGCCCUCGGGUUGUAAAGCACUUUCAGUGAGGAAGAACGCCUGGUGGUUAAUACCCAUCAGGAAAGACAUCACUCACAGAAGAAGCACCGGCUAACUCCGUGCCAGCAGCCGCGGUAAUACGGAGGGUGCGAGCGUUAAUCGGAAUUACUGGGCGUAAAGCGCGCGUAGGUGGCUUGAUAAGCCGGUUGUGAAAGCCCCGGGCUCAACCUGGGAACGGCAUCCGGAACUGUCAAGCUAGAGUGCAGGAGAGGAAGGUGGAAUUCCCGGUGUAGCGGUGAAAUGCGUAGAGAUCGGGAGGAAUACCAGUGGCGAAGGCGGCCUUCUGGACUGACACUGACACUGAGGUGCGAAAGCGUGGGUAGCAAACAGGAUUAGAUACCCGUGUAGUC